CUUGCUCUGGGGGAUUAGUGGCGAACGGGUGAGUAACACGUGAGCAACCUGCCCCUGACUCUGGGAUAAGCGCUGGAAACGGCGUCUAAUACUGGAUACGAACAAGAAUCGCAUGGUUACUUGUUGGAAAGAUUUUUUGGUUGGGGAUGGGCUCGCGGCCUAUCAGCUUGUUGGUGAGGUAAUGGCUCACCAAGGCGUCGACGGGUAGCCGGCCUGAGAGGGUGACCGGCCACACUGGGACUGAGACACGGCCCAGACUCCUACGGGAGGCAGCAGUGGGGAAUAUUGCACAAUGGGCGGAAGCCUGAUGCAGCAACGCCGCGUGAGGGAUGACGGCCUUCGGGUUGUAAACCUCUUUUAGCAGGGAAGAAGCGAGAGUGACGGUACCUGCAGAAAAAGCGCCGGCUAACUACGUGCCAGCAGCCGCGGUAAUACGUAGGGCGCAAGCGUUAUCCGGAAUUAUUGGGCGUAAAGAGCUCGUAGGCGGUUUGUCGCGUCUGCUGUGAAAUCCCGAGGCUCAACCUCGGGCCUGCAGUGGGUACGGGCAGACUAGAGUGCGGUAGGGGAGAUUGGAAUUCCUGGUGUAGCGGUGGAAUGCGCAGAUAUCAGAGGAACACCGAUGGCGA
rnacentral:rRNA from 1 species